CGAAGCAAAAAAAACCCUACCUACUUUACUCCCCCACUCCAUUCGCAGCCGCAACCCGCCAGCGGCGACGCAUCGCACAGCCCACGGCCACACCACGCGGGCGCGGCGAAAAACACGACGGGCAGGCGGGCAGCAACAACUCGAUUUGCAGUUCCUGCUGAACACCGAAGUAUUUAUUAUUCAUCGAAAAAUAUACAGAACGCCCGGAACAAUUCGACUCGAGCUCCGCGAGAAGACAGGAGGGGGGACGAAAUGGCAUCCCUGGCCCGCGCCGCCGCCGUCGCCGUGAGGUCGGCAGCCCGCUCCGCGCCCCUCACAGGCCGCGUCCUCGGCGGGCCGCUGCCUUCCCCUGCGUCGCCUUCCGCUGCUGCCCGCUCCGCCCGGAUCCUCCGCAGGUCGGCGGCCGCGGCGUCGGCGGGGCUGGAGACGCUCAUGCCGCUGCACAGCGCGGUGGCGGCGGCGCGUCUUAGGUCCUGCAUCGCCGUCGACUCCUCCUGCUGGAGCUCGCUCUCGCAAGGUUUAAACAAGCGCAUCUGAUCAUCGCUAGGAGCUGAGCUGCAGAGAAGUGAGGACACUGAGUUAAAACAAAGUGCUUUUUUUUUCAGAUCUUUCUAGACAUGUAACAUGUACUUUGAUUGUUGCUCUAUGCGUGUAUUCAUGUCAACAAAAUGGAGCAUGGAAAAUGUUUCCUUGUACCUUGCUUGGCUCUUAUAUUGAAUUUGUCAUGAUCCAUGCAAAAAAACUGUACUGACAAUCAAAAUACUUCAGUUUUUCUUUAGGAUAUGCUUUGCCUUUGUGACAGAAGCUGCACCUGAAGAAACCAGUGAACAUUAGGAAUUACAAACAAGGGCUGUAUAAUGUGAUGCUUGUAAACUAAUUUUGCCUUUGAAGUUGAUUGAAUUAUGUAACAUGAAUCAUUCAAGAUGUGGAACUAGCAUUUAUUGUUAGAUUUUAUUCAAUGGCCCUCGAAUUAUCUGCGGCUCAUUUAAA